UGGAAAGGCCUAAAAUAUCACUAGUAGUGACUCACCAAGGGAGGAGGUCCUGCUCUGGGCCCACAGGCAUGAAUUGGAACAGAUGUGUGCUGUGUAAAGAUACAAGACAGACUUCUCCUGCAGAGGAAGAGACAUCAAGACCCCUACACAGCAUAUGAAGCGUUCACAUUGACGUAGCCACAAAUCAAGAUGUCAUUGGGUUGGUUUGCCGUCUUUCUUUUUGCCAUUUUUGGCAGCUUGUCUAUAAUUAGAUGUCAGAACUACAACACAUUUAAGGACAAGCACAUUGUUCAAGAUCAAGAGAACAUAAACUGCAACCUCACCAUAAGCGGACGGAAUCUCAAUAGGAAUACUUGUAGAUUUCGCAACACUUUCAUCCAUGAUACCGAUGCAAGGAAAGUGCGUUCCAUGUGUUCGUCAUACGUGCCUUCUACAGUUGUUAGCAGUAGUGGAUCCUUGAAGC